rnacentral:rRNA from 1 species
GACGAACGCUGACGGUGUGCUUUAGACAUGCAAGUCGAACGAGAAAGCCCUUCGGGGUUAGUAAAGUGGCGAACGGGUGAGUAACACGUGGGCAAUCUGCCCCUCGCAGGGGGACAACCGGAGGAAACCCCGGCUAAUACCCCGUAAGUUCAAAGGGAGGCAUCUCCCCUUGAAGAAAGGUAGCUUCGGCCAUCCGGCGAGGGAUGAGCCCGCGGUGCAUUAGCUAGUUGGUGGGGUAACGGCCCACCAAGGCGACGAUGCAUAGCUGGUCUGAGAGGAUGAUCAGCCACACUGGGACUGAGACACGGCCCCAGACUCCGUACGGGAGGCAGCAGUCGGGAAUCUUGCGCAAUGGGCGAAAGUCUGACGCAGCAACACCGUGUGUGUGAGGAAGGCCCUCGGGU